GAUCUUCUCACAAAUCUAAUGGUUUUGUGUGCGUGCAUGUGUGUGUGUGUGUGUCUGCUUAUGUGCUGUCAUUGUUUGUACAGGCAGGGAAUUCAACAGUGGCACGGAGCCCAGAUCUUGUCUGAGAACUUUAGUGCUUGGGUGGUGCUGCAACACCAAACAACACAGAAGUAACCAGAGUUUUUACAUUGGCUCACAGACAUUGAAGCAGAUUUUGUGCUCUUUACAUGACUGUAUAUGUGGUGUCAUGGAUAGAAAAAUCUGCAGAAUCAUUCUGGCUUUGGAAUAUUUAGUUGAAUAAAAAAAAAAUGAAGUAAAAAUGGAAGAUGUGAGUGUGAAGGCGAAGGUGUGUGGGAGUCUCAGGGUGUCUAAAGAGAGUGUGUAGAAGGACAAAGGAGCAGCAGAGCAGUCCAGAUACACCGAUGACCCUCUGUCAGAUCCUGAGUGACACAAAGGGGAUGAUGGUGCACUCUAGGCUCUGUGACAGAGGAACUAUUCUUAGAGCAGUUCACUCUGCACUGACAGUUAUCUGCUCUUAUUUUCAUCCAUCUGUCAGUCACUGCUGGAUAAAGCACCCACCUCCCAGUAACAUGUCCCCAUCAGAGCAUCUGCACAUAAGCUGCUGCCAUCUCAACAACUCUGAAUCAUCAGGCCACAGCUCAUCCAGCUUCAGCACAAACCACCCUGUUUACCACCAUUCCCAUCAGAAGAGAAGAGAAGAGCAGGUAUUUAAGGCGAAUUGGUGUUGUACUCCUAACUUCAUAGUUUCCGUGAUUAGAUGUCCCAAAAGGAUUAAUAAAGUUCUAUUCUAUUCUCUCAGCUGUCAUGCUGGAGUGAACACACUGAAAUUAACCUGCACAGAGAUAUUUAACAUUAAGUUUGUUUCCUCUGUUGAUUUCGCUCAAGUCCAGGGUGAAAAUAAUCUGCUGAGAGUCCAGAAUGCCUCAUUACUGCAAAAAGACUUUUGUUCUACUAAGUCUCUGUCUGCACAUGUGUACACACUGAAAAAAUAAUCUGUUGGAGUAACAUGAAAAAAUUUACAAUGGCAAUAAAAUUAUAUUUUAUAAGCUUUACUUUUGCUUGAUAUAACUGCGCAAUGUUUAUAUUAAAUGAACAUGUCUUUUAUGCUAUUUUAUGCUGUUAUUUUUUUAUUCAUGUGAUGUCUUCACAAUUAUCUCAUGUUCAUUUUACAGAAAAUGUUCAUGUUUACACUUGACACAAUGCUACAUUUCAGCAAACUCCCAUGCUAACAAUGAGACUAAAAUGACAAAAUGUGGAACAAGCUAAGAGGUGUGAACGGGGUGUUACUUUUUACUGCACCAUGCUUCUUUAACUAUCUGUCUUUUCUCAGUCGUGCACAGAUUACCAGUCAACACAGUAAACAUGUGACACACAUGUUUUUGAACUGUAAUAUAACACAGCACUGACUAACACACUGCUGGAGCGCUAAUGCAACACCACUAGCAUGAUAAUGUGCACACUGAAAUUACUGCAAUGCUUCAUAGCAAAGUAAUAAAGCAGGACCUGCCCAAGCAAAGCCUGCCCUUUUCAAGACCAGCUGGAGAGCAGCCACUGUAAAAGUAAAAGUAACAUUCAACUCAGGAGAUUCGAUAGAGGCAGAAAAUAAGUGAUCAGUUUUGCCAAUAACAUAUUCCAGCACUUGUUCCAGAGCUUAGUGAGUCUUUCAGAUCAAAGGACAGUCCUUUGAUCCUCUAGUUUGCAUGGGCAUCUCUGCUUUUUGAGUGCACAGCAUUCUUACUGUGGUCUCCUCAGUCCUUGCAUGUGAAAUGAAUGCAAUGAAACCUGUUUCACAAGAUUCUGCUCUGCAACAAAUCAGAACUGAGGAAGAUGUAAGAUACCGGGACAAAAUGCCGCUUAGGUGAAUGAACUGAAUGUCUCAGAGCUUAGGAAUGUGAUUAUGCCAGUACUGACACAUUCACUGGAGUCAUAAGAGUCAUCCAGCAUGGAAAGACAGUUGGAGUUAAGGCCACACUGUCUUUGUCUGUCUUUGUAUGCUCUGCAACAGAUUCAAGAAGUCUGGGUAGAAUCAGUCUUUGACUUCAAGGAUCACUCUGCAGGCAUCACUGCGUGUCUCAACCUGUAAAAGAUUGAAAAAGGUUUGUCUUAAAAAGAUUGUUGCAUAUGCUUCAUGGGUACAGUCACGUUUACUGUGUUUUAUCCACAUAUUGACAAGAUUUUUUGUCACAAUAAAUAAGAAUACUAAAAACAAUAAAAAACAACACAACAACAAUAAUAAUAAUAAUCUUAAAAUAACUUUUCAU
ensembl:lncRNA